AGUGAACGCUGGCGGUAGGCCUAACACAUGCCAGUCGAACGGCAGCACAGUAAGAGCUUGCUCUUACGGGUGGCGAGUGGCGGACGGGUGAGGAAUACAUCGGAAUCUACUUUUUCGUGGGGGAUAACGUAGGGAAACUUACGCUAAUACCGCAUACGACCUACGGGUGAAAGCAGGGGAUCUUCGGACCUUGCGCGAUUGAAUGAGCCGAUGUCGGAUUAGCUAGUUGGCGGGGUAAAGGCCCACCAAGGCGACGAUCCGUAGCUGGUCUGAGAGGAUGAUCAGCCACACUGGAACUGGAACACGGUCCAGACUCCUACGGGAGGCAGCAGUGGGGAAUAUUGGACAAUGGGCGCAAGCCUGAUCCAGCCAUACCGCGUGGGUGAAGAAGGCCUUCGGGUUGUAAAGCCCUUUUGUUGGGAAAGAAAAGCAGCAGGUUAAUACCCCGCUGUUCUGACGGUACCCAAAGAAUAAGCACCGGCUAACUUCGUG
rnacentral:rRNA from 1 species